AGUGCAUGGUGCUGCUCACCAUGGGCAGGUGCCUGAAGCCUUCUGAUGAGGGCUGCCUUCCUGGAUCCUCUCCCAACAAGUGGGUUUCACUCUGCAGGUGGAAGGUAAUUGCAUUUUGGACAGCACUGAGGUGAGCCAGCUCUCUUUCCCUGACGUUUCUCACUGCUGGCUUGGGAAGUCACAGAACACCCAUGGUCACUGCUGUGGUGGCUGUGUGGCUUUCUGAAGAUGAUGAUGAAGAGCGUGAAGCAGCUGUCAGAUAUCUUAGCCCCGCUUAUCUGGAUUAGAAAACUUAUUGGGAGGCCUACUUUGCUUCAAACCUCGCUGACAGAAAAUGGGACAAUGGGGAAGAGGGAGUUUUUUUUCACCUUGUUUACCCUGGAAAUGUGAUUCCAGUAAUCACUGGAGACAAUGGGGGAAACAAGACACUGCUGGCAGUGAUGCUUCUCCAAGACUUUUCCUGAAACAGUCUGGAUUUUUUAGCUGGAGUAUUUUAUUUGGUGGCAGUAAUAAAAUGGGGGAAUGAAUUCCUGCAGCUUCACUUCUGGCCAAACUGAGGGAAGGUGGCUGCAAGGAAUUGCAGCACUGGCAUGUCUGCUCUGACACCAAUGCUGGACAAGAAGUAGAAGUAAAAAAGCAACACCCAAAGCUUCUCCGUAAACACUGGCAG